rnacentral:rRNA from 1 species
GAGGAAUAUUGGGCAACGCCCGCAAGGGUGACCCAGCAACGCCGCGUGGAGGAUGAAUGUCGUAAGAUUGUAAACUCCUGUUAGAGGGGAAGAAUAGUACCGGUUGGACCGGUAUAUGACUGUACCCUCAGAGAAAGCCCCGGCUAACUACGUGCCAGCAGCCGCGGUAAUACGUAGGGGGCAAGCGUUGUCCGGAUUUACUGGGUGUAAAGGGCGCGCAGGCGGGAUAAAAAGUCAGUGGUGAAAUCCUACAGCUUAACUGUAGAACUGCCUUUGAUACUUUUAUUCUUGAGUUCGGGAGAGAGAGACGGAAUUCCAGGUGUAGUGGUGAAAUACGUAGAUAUCUGGAAGAACACCAGUUGCGAAGGCGGUCUCUUGGUCCGACACUGACGCUGAGGCGCGAAAGCGUGGGGAGCAAACA